rnacentral:rRNA from 1 species
AAGCCAGACUCCUACGGGAGGCAGCAGUGGGGGAUAUUGCACAAUGGGGGGAACCCUGAUGCAGCGACGCCGCGUGAGCGAUGAAGUAUUUCGGUAUGUAAAGCCCUAUCGGCAGGGAAGAAGCAAGACGGUACCUGACUAAGAAGCCCCGGCUAACUACGUGCCAGCAGCCGCGGUAAUACGUAGGGGGCGAGCGUUAUCCGGAUUCACUGGGUGUAAAGGGAGCGUAGACGGCCAUGCAAGCCAGGGGUGAAAGCCCGGGGCCCAACCCCGGGACUGCCCUUGGAACUGCAUGGCUGGAGUGCGGGAGGGGCAGGCGGAAUUCCCGGUGUAGCGGUGAAAUGCGUAGAUAUCAGGAGGAACACCGGCGGCGAAGGCGGCCUGCUGGACCGCGACUGACGUUGAGGCUCGAAAGCGUGGGGAGCGAACAGGAUUAGAUACCCGAGUA